rnacentral:lncRNA from 1 species
GAUUCUCAAAAUAAGAUUUUAAAAAGUUAUUCAUUCUCUGCUUUCAAAAUCAGCUCCAGGAUACAGUGAUUUGGUCAAAAGUGAUUCCUAAAAAAGUUCACCAAACACCAAAAUCAACUUUUAACUUUUUAAAAUUACUUUGGUACCUCCUAAAAAAUAAUCCCAAACAGGCCAUUACUUAUUGUUAGAUUCAAAUAUACAAUUCAACUUUACUUUUUAGUUUUUCGAACACAUAUUUCAACAUUACUCUUUUUUAAGAGAUUUUUUUUUUAAAUUUUAAUAUUGAUAUUACAAUUUGACACCUAUGUACAUUUAUGGGUGGGAGUAAUGUAAAUUAAUUUUAUGUGACACAACUCGAAUCUCGGAUCAUAUACAAAACAUUUAUAAUAGUUCUAUUCUAUUAAUAUUCAAAAAAUAUAUUUACUCUACCCAUAUUUAUGAGAGUUCUAAUUUAAAGCUACAACUUAAACUUGGUUGGCAUUGGACUGGUGUUUUUAAGAGAGUUUUUUUUUUAAUUAUGUUAUACACAUAUUGUUACUGAUAUUACGUCAGACAUUACAAUUAAUAUUUACAAUCAAACUAUACAAUUAGGACCACCUUCAUACAUUGACACACUGAAGUACUUGUUCAUAUACUUUAAACCCUCUCUAAUAUUUAAGAGGAUGCCUACUCUAUUUACAUUUUAUAAGGGAUAUAUUGUCUCCACUCAAUUAGUUGAUAAUUUAGGAAGUAUUGAAACUAAUCUCUAUAAAACUCUUAUGGAGGUUCGAACCCUUACACUUACCAUUAUAAGUGAAAGACUUCUCCCAUUGGACAAAAGACCCAUUGAUUUUUUAAGAGAAUUAGCUAAAGCAUCUUUCACUCAAAAUCCGUGUAUUUAGUUAAGUGAAUAUCAAAACUUACAACCUAUCCCAAUAUGUCAUAGAAAUAGAAAUAGUAACAUAAAAGAGAGACGGUGAAGUCCAAUACCUAUGCGCAUGCAAUAAGAACACUAAGAACAUGGAAAAAGAAACAAAUAUAUAAUUAUUGUCGAAAGAGAAAGUAACAUAAAAGAAGAAGAAGAAGAAGCAAAGAAACUACCAAAUGAUAGUGUGUCUUCGCCAAAGUCACGACUCACGAGUAAUGCUUUUUCUUUUUUGGAUAUUGCUUCAAGUCAUUUUCAAACAAAAUAUAGAUACUCAAGUACGUACUAGUGACCGAGUAAUAGUAUCUCUGUGCCAAAGUGGUUUAAUCAUCAACUUCUUUUUUGAGUUUAUUACUAUUUUGUUUAAUUUUGUAUAAUUUUAUAACUUGGCUGGAAUGAGCUUACUUUAUUUAAAACCACUUUUCCAAAGUACAUUAAUUAAUGAAGGGAAUAAAUAAUUUUACCGAAAGUGUACGUCAGUACAAAAAGUUAUUUCCUUGCGGAUAAAUAUCCAAGUAAAAGAGAAACACUCAUCAUUUUUGUUAGAGAUAAAGUGUGUUAUUUCCUUGUGGACAAAUCUUCGAAAUUCAAAGCCAAUGGCGUGUCACAAGAUUCCUAAAUUAAGAAUAUUGCUGUCUUUUUAUUAUUUUUUUUCCCUUAGACUUGUAGUGUUUAAGAGAUAUCCAAUAUAAAAGUUUUGUUCCUACUCAUAUUAAUCUAUACAGAACAUAAUUCUGAUAAUAUGAUGAGUUAGUUAAUGGAUUUGAUCCCAAAGAUAAAGUUUUAAUUAAUAUAAAAAUAAGAUGCUACGAGCAUGUCUAAUUACAUUUAAUCUUUUCAAAUCAUGCAAUUAUUAUAUAGCUAAUAAUGAUAUAAAAACUCAACUAUUAAUAAACACAUGUUAAAAAAAUAUUUUUUUGUACCAUGUCAUUUAGGAUACAUAUCUCAAAUUUAUAAGUAUAUAUCAUUAAUCAUAACUUAUCUUUUCAUCAAUUUACGAACAUAUAUUAAAAGUCAAUUAUUACUAAAUAUAUGAUAAAACAUAAUUGACUGAUUUGUUGUAAAACAUCAUUGUAGGAAUCCUUUUUUUUUUUUUUCAGUUUGCUUUGUAACCAUUUGUUUCCUUGUAAUUACAAUAAAUAAACCAAGACUACGUACAAAGUGUAAUAAUUUGGCUUCAUCGCCUACACUUAUAUAAUUACAAUGCUUUGUGAUUUUACAACUAGUGAUUAUUGAUCUUUAAUCAAAGAAUGGUUUUGUCACUUCUAAGUGUUUGACGGAAUCUUUAUUUAGCUAGCCAUCCAUCUAGGAUCGAAUUCUGGAGAAAAAAAAAGAAAGAAAGAAAGUUAAAAAGUUGAUUUAAAUUUCACCAGCUUCUCUAUCUUUAAAAAAUUAAUCAUUAAAAUAUAAGAAGGGUAAAAGCUGAUAUAAUUCC